rnacentral:rRNA from 1 species
GUAAAGCGUGUGUAGCCGGCGUGACAAGUUGGGCGUGAAAGCCCCGUGCUCAACGCGGGGAGGCCGCACAAUACUGUCAGGCUAGAGGGCAUCAGAGGGGUGUGGAAUUCCCGGAGUAGCGGUAAAAUGCGCAGAUAUCGGGAGGAACACCGGUGGCGAAAGCGGCACCCUGGGGUGCGCCUGACGCUGAGAGACGACAGCUAGGGGAGCGAACAGGAUUAGAGACCCUGGUAGUCCUAGCCGUAAACGAUGGAUGCUAGGUGUGGGAGUGAAGAACUUCUGUGCCGCAGCGAACGCGAUAAGCAUCCCGCCUGGGGAGUACGGCCGCAAGGUUAAAACUCAAACGAAUUGACGGGGACCCGCACAAGCAGCGGAGCGUGUGGUUUAAUUCGAUGCUACACGAAGAACCUUACCUGGGAUUGACAUAUGGGUGGUAGUGAGCCGAAAGGCAAGCGACCCUUCGGGGAGCCUAUACAGGUGCUGCACGGCUGUCGUCAGCUCGUGCCGUGAGGUGUCGGGUUAAGUCCCGUAACGAGCGCAACCCCUGUCCUUAGUUACAAGUGUCUAAGGGGACUGCCGGCGGGAAGCCGGAGGAAGGUGGGGAUGACGUCAGGUCAGCAUGGCCCUUAUAUCCAGGGCGACACACACGCUACAAUGGUCGGUACAGAGGGCAGCGAAGCCGCGAGGUGGAGCGAAACCCAGAAAGCCGGUCGUAGUUCGGAUUGCAGGCUGCAACUCGCCUGCAUGAAGUUGGAGUUGCUAGUAACCGCAGGUCAGCCAUACUGCGGUGAUACGUUCCCGGGUCUUGUACACACCGCCCGUCACGUCAUGGGAGUCGGUAACGCCUGAAGGCGGUAGUCUGACCGGAAGGAAGACGCUGUCGAGGGUGGGGCUGGCAACUGGGACGAAGUCG